CCCGCUGAACUUAAGCAUAUCAAUAAGCGGAGGAAAAGAAACCAACAGGGAUUGCCUCAGUAACGGCGAGUGAAGCGGCAACAGCUCAAAUUUGAAAUCUGGCUCCUUCGGAGUCCGAGUUGUAAUUUGUAGAAGAUGCUUCGAGUGUGGCUCUGGUUUAAGUUCCUUGGAACAGGACGUCAUAGAGGGUGAGAAUCCCGUAUGUGACCGGACGCCUACGCUCAUGUGAAGCUCUUUCGACGAGUCGAGUUGUUUGGGAAUGCAGCUCUAAAUGGGUGGUAAAUUUCAUCUAAAGCUAAAUAUUGGCCAGAGACCGAUAGCGCACAAGUAGAGUGAUCGAAAGAUGAAAAGCACUUUGGAAAGAGAGUUAAACAGUACGUGAAAUUGUUGAAAGGGAAGCGCUUGCAACCAGACUUGCGCGUCGUCGAUCAUCUGGUGUUCUCACCGGUGCGCUCGGCGACGUUCAGGCCAGCAUCAGUUUUGGUGGUUGGAUAAAGGCCCUGGGAAUGUGGCUCUCUUCGGGGAGUGUUAUAGCCCAAGGUGCAAUGCAGCCUACCGAGACUGAGGACCGCGCUUCGGCUAGGAUGCUGGCGUAAUGGUUGUAAGCGACCCGUCUUGAAACACGG
rnacentral:rRNA from 1 species